UGGGGAAUAUUGGACAAUGGGCGCAAGCCUGAUCCAGCCAUGCCGCGUGUGUGAAGAAGGCCUUUUGGUUGUAAAGCACUUUAAGCGAGGAGGAGGCUACUUGGAUUAAUACUCUAGGAUAGUGGACGUUACUCGCAGAAUAAGCACCGGCUAACCCUGUGCCAGCAGCCGUGGUAAUACAGAGGGUGCGAGCGUUAAUCGGAUUUACUGGGCGUAAAGCGUGCGUAGGCGGCUUUUUAAGUCGGAUGUGAAAUCCCUGAGCUUAACUUAGGAAUUGCAUUCGAUACUGGGAAGCUAGAGUAUGGGAGAGGAUGGUAGAAUUCCAGGUGUAGCGGUGAAAUGCGUAGAGAUCUGGAGGAAUACCGAUGGCGAAGGCAGCCAUCUGGCCUAAUACUGACGCUGAGGUACGAAAGCAUGGGGAGCAAACAGG
rnacentral:rRNA from 1 species